CCUACGGGAGGCAGCAGUAGGGAAUCUUCCGCAAUGGACGAAAGUCUGACGGAGCAACGCCGCGUGAACGAUGAAGGCCUUCGGGUCGUAAAGUUCUGUUGUUAGGGAAGAACAAGUGCUAGUUGAAUAAGCUGGCACCUUGACGGUACCUAACCAGAAAGCCACGGCUAACUACGUGCCAGCAGCCGCGGUAAUACGUAGGUGGCAAGCGUUGUCCGGAAUUAUUGGGCGUAAAGCGCGCGCAGGCGGUUUCUUAAGUCUGAUGUGAAAGCCCCCGGCUCAACCGGGGAGGGUCAUUGGAAACUGGGAAACUUGAGUGCAGAAGAGGAAAGUGGAAUUCCAAGUGUAGCGGUGAAAUGCGUAGAGAUUUGGAGGAACACUAGUGGCGAAGGCGACUUUCUGGUCUGUAACUGACGCUGAGGCGCGAAAGCGUGGGGAGCAAACAGGAUUAGAUACCCUGGUAGUCCACGCUGUAAACGAUGAGUGCUAAGUGUUAGAGGGUUUCCGCCCUUUAGUGCUGAAGUUAACGCAUUAAGCACUCCGCCUGGGGGAUACGGUCGCAGGACUGAAACUCAAAGGAAUUGACGG
rnacentral:rRNA from 1 species